rnacentral:rRNA from 1 species
UGGGGAAUAUUGGACAAUGGGGGGAACCCUGAUCCAGCCAUGCCGCGUGUGUGAAGAAGGCCUUAUGGUUGUAAAGCACUUUAAGCGAGGAGGAGGGUACUGGUAUUAAUACUACCAGGUACUGGACGUUACUCGCAGAAUAAGCACCGGCUAACUCUGUGCCAGCAGUCGCGGUAAUACAGAGGGUGCGAGCGUUAAUCGGAUUUACUGGGCGUAAAGCGUGCGUAGGCGGCUAAUUGAGUCGGAUGUGAAAUCCCCGAGCUUAACUUGGGAAUUGCAUUCGAUACUGGUUAGCUAGAGUGUGGGAGAGGAUGGUAGAAUUCCAGGUGUAGCGGUGAAAUGCGUAGAGAUCUGGAGGAAUACCGAUGGCGAAGGCAGCCAUCUGGCCUAACACUGACGCUGAGGUGCGAAAGCAGGGGGAGCAAACAGG